GACGAACGCUGGCGGCGUGCCUAACACAUGCAAGUCGGAACGCGAAAGUCCCGCAAGGGAUCAGUAGAGUGGCAAACGGGUGAGUAACACGUGGGUGACCUGCCUUCGAGCGGGGGAUAACGUCCCGAAAGGGACGCUAAUACCGCAUGACAUCCUGCCUUUUAAGAGGUGGAGAUCAAAGCUGGGGAUCGCAAGACCUAGCACUCGAAGAGGGGCCCGCGCCUGAUUAGCUAGNGGUGGGUAACGGCUCACCAAGGCUACGAUCAGUAUCCGGCCUGAGAGGGCGGACGGACACACUGGGACUGAGACACGGCCCAGACUCCUACGGGAGCAGCAGUGGGGAAUUGUUCGCAAUGGGGGAAACCCUGACGAAGCAACGCCGCGU
rnacentral:rRNA from 1 species